rnacentral:hammerhead_ribozyme from 1 species
AUCCAGGUAACGAGUCCCAAAUAGGACGAAAUGCGCAUCCUAGAU